AGUGAACGCUGGCGGUAGGCCUAACACAUGCAAGUCGAACGGCAGCACAGUAAGAGCUUGCUCUUACGGGUGGCGAGUGGCGGACGGGUGAGGAAUACAUCGGAAUCUACUUUUUCGUGGGGGAUAACGUAGGGAAACUUACGCUAAUACCGCAUACGACCUACGGGUGAAAGCAGGGGAUCUUCGGACCUUGCGCGAUUGAAUGAGCCGAUGUCGGAUUAGCUAGUUGGCGGGGUAAAGGCCCACCAAGGCGACGAUCCGUAGCUGGUCUGAGGGGAUGAUCAGCCACACUGGAACUGACACGCGGUCCAGACUCCUACGGGAGGCAGCAGUGGGGAAUAUUGGACAAAGGGCGCAAGCCUGAUCCAGCCAUACCGCGUGGGUGAAGAAGGCCUUCGGGUUGUAAAGCCCUUUUGUUGGGAAAGAAAAGCAGCAGGUUAAUACCCCGCUGUUCUGACGGUACCCAAAGGAUAAGCACCGGCUAACUUCGUG
rnacentral:rRNA from 1 species